GAUGAAGAACGUAGCGAAAUGCGAUAAGUAAUGUGAAUUGCAGAAUUCAGUGAAUCAUCGAAUCUUUGAACGCACCUUGCGCUCUUUGGUAUUCCGAAGAGCAUGCUUGUUUGAGUGUCAUGAAAAUAUCAACCUUGACUUGGGUUUUGUGCUCUAGUCUCGGCUUGGAAUUGGGUGCUUGCCGCUUUUACGAGCGGCUCACCUUAAAUGUAUUAGCUGGAUCUGUCUUUGAGACUUGGUUUGACUUGGCGUAAUAAGUAUUUCGCUAAGGACAUUCUUCGGAGUGGCCUCGUUUCUAGGACGCUUGUCCGCUUUCCAAUACAAGUUCCACCUCGUGGACAUGACUUUUUAUUAUCUGGCCUCAAAUCAGGUAGGACUACCCGCUGAACUUAAGCAUAUCAAUAAGCGGAGGA
rnacentral:misc_RNA from 1 species